rnacentral:rRNA from 1 species
GAUAAGAACUCUCCGAAAAAAUUACGCUGUUAUCCCUAAGGUAAGUUAAUCUUAUAAUCAAAAAUUCUGGAUCAAAAAACAUAAAUUAAUGAAAAAAAUAUUAAAAGUUAAAUAAAUUUUAAUGUCACCCCAACAAAACUUUAUAUUCUAAAAGAUAAUUUUAUAAACAAAAAACAAAAAUUAAUAAAUAAAGUAAACUUCUAUAGGGUCUUCUCGUCCUAUAAAAAAAUUUUAGCUUUUUAACUAAAAAAUUAAAUUCAAAAUAAUUAAAAAAAGAAAGUUUAUUUUUCAUCAAACCAUUCAUACUAGCCUUCAAUUAAAAGACAAAUGAUUAUGCUACCUUCGUACAGUUAAAAUACCGCAGCCUUUUAAUUAAAAAAAUCAAUGGGCAGGCCUGAUCUUAAAUUAAAAUCAAAAGACC